GGGAAUUAUGGUUAUCGUCUUUUCUUUUCACCCGUACAACAUCUUCGCGUGAAUCCCCUCCCUACUUCAUCUACCUAUUAAUGCUCCAGCGCACUCUGGCACCGAUGCAGGAGCUUCCAACUGUUGUCGUGUUGGUGCAUCGAAGGCCGAUCCCACCUCGAUCAUCCCUUCUACUUCUGUUCAUGUUGUACUCUUCGUUGUUCAUGUAGUAGCCCUCAUCCUCCUUCCGGUUUUCAUGGCUUUUUACCUAGCAGCUUGCGUGUGUAGCAAUCCGUGGGUACCUUCAAGCCACCAAAACCAGCUGGACGUUCUUCUUUACAGAGUCUGUUUGUUUGGGGUCUGUAAGAGAGCAACAUUGGUGUCAAGUGGUUUCUGUGAGGGCUUCGGCUGGCGUUGAUUUUGAGUUUGUUGGGUAAAAGAGUCCAAUUUCUGCAUUUCCUUUCUUAUUCCUAAUCGUCAAUUUCAUCUCUGUAGAAGCUGCCUUGCUCUCUUCCUGAUUCGGACACAGGUACCAUAAACACUGUACUGGAAAUGAAUGAUUUCGUUUUGGUUUUCUUUCAAUUUUUAAUCUUAUUUUCUAUUAUCAUUUUUCACUGCGGUGUUGCUGUUCCUGGUGUGUUUUUUCCAGUACAAGUUCCUUUAGUCCAUCUCUUAUAGGUUAUCAAGCUUUGUAGAAGCUGCCUUGCUCUCUUCCUCAUCUACAAAUGUUACUUUUUAUAAAUAGGCACUUCAUGCUGGAACUGACAGCCCUUUGAAGCUCUUUGCAGCGGGAGGGAUACAUGGACGAUUAAACUAAGGGUCCUUAGAGCAUGGGACAUGUGCCCAGUUACUGAACCAUCCAAACUAUAUGCAAUGAGUUUGGUGCUGCUUGAUGCGGAGUGAGGACUGAGGAGGGAGUGAAGUAAAAGAUAUACUCUGGUGCCACACAUUUGAACCUGAGACCUCUGGUGCUAUGGGAUUUGGCUUCAGAUUGGUUUUUUGGGUCUUCACCAUAUGUAAGCCCAAAGUUUUAGGGAAUUCUUCUCAAAUCAUGGUGGAUUUAAGUUGUGGUUCUCUUGUCAGUAACAAGCUUGAGCAACUGACCAUUUCAAGACGUACUGAGACAGAUGAGUCAGUUUCUUUAAAUCCUUAUUUUUCAGCACAACAACAACAACACUCAUCUUUUCCGCAGCACCAAAACGAAUCACUUGAAAGAAGUUCAAGGAUACUGUAUUCGCUGCUCAUGAACCACUUGUCAAGGCAAAGAAGAAUGGGGCACUGGCUAGCUUGAACAUUUUUAAGUAUUGGUGCAUGGAUUCAUAAAGGAUGAGUCAUUUCAAGGUGGCCUUAGGAUUCAGAUUUAUGUUAGGAACCAUAGUGUGAUUCAGAACCUACUCCAAUCAUCCAUUGAUGUUCUAUUUGGUGUUAUUAAAUUUUGUUCUAUCAAAGCCUGAAUAGCAGAAUCAAAGACUACUAUUAAAUUUUCCAUGGAAAGUUGUGAUCCCUAAGUCUUGGUAUAGAAAAUGUGAGAUAUUUUAGAAAGUUGUGAUCUCUUUAGCCAUAGCAUUUUUUAUGUACUGGACAAUUAUGUUUAAUGUAUAUCAAAUUUUCAAAUGUGAUUAUCAUUUGCUUCA